GGAUAGCUCAGUUGGGAGAACAUGAAGCUCUUAAUCUCAGGGACGUGGGUUCGAGCUCCACGUUGGACA